CGCGUAGGCGGGUUUGUAAGUCAGAGGUGAAAUCCUGCAGCUUAACUGCAGAACUGCCUUUGAAACUACAAAUCUUGAGUUUGGAAGAGAGAGACGGAAUUCCAGGUGUAGUGGUGAAAUACGUAGAUAUCUGGAAGAACACCAGUGGCGAAGGCGGUCUCUUGGUCCAUAACUGACGCUGAGGCGACGAAAGCGGUGGGGAGCAAACA
rnacentral:rRNA from 1 species